GUCUCCUUAUACACUAAAAACCCUACCUCACAUCUCUAACUCUCUCAGCUGCACAAAGCCUCACCCUCACACUUUGUCUCCAUUAUCUUCCUCUCUCUCUCUCUCUCGUGCACGAAGCCUACCCUUUCCCUCUCACUCUCUCACUGAACGGCGAGAUCUCGGAAACCAGGCGACGGGUGGAGUCUCAGAAACUAGGCGAUAAGCGUGGUCUCCUCUCUCUCUGGCUGUACCACGGUUCGCCUUUGCUACUCUUUCUUCUUGGGACACUCACAAUGACAUAAAUGAAGGACCCAAUCAUUUUUUAAGCGGGCAUCUACGUACUUUGAUGAGGCCCAUAGUAUUGGAGCAGUAAGGAAGUCUGGAAGAUGUGUUUGGGAGCUCUUGGGUGUGGAUCCUAAUGAUGUAGAUGCAUGAUGAGAACUUUUGCAAAAUCAUUAGAUUGAUUAUUAAAUUUCCUAGUUUUGUAUUAUAAAUGUGAUAAGAUUGAAUAUUCAUUUUUGUUCCUAAAUUUAGUUUUUUUUAGAUUUGUAACUAUCUCAUUGAAUGUAUAAGUUUUGUUAUUUUGUUGUAUUUUCUUUUGAAAAUUUUAGAAAUCUAACAUAUAUAAUAUAUUUAGGACUCUCAAA